AGAGUUUGAUCCUGGCUCAGACGAACGCUGGCGGCGUGCCUAACACAUGCAAGUCGAACGCGAAAAGCAGUAAUGCUGAGUAGAGUGGCGCACGGGUGAGUAACACGUAAAUGACAUGUCUUGGAGAGAGGGAUAACUGUUCGAAAGGAUAGCUAAUACCUCAUAAGCCCACGUCCUUGGGGAUGCGGGAAAAGGGUCGGGACCUUUCGAGGCCGAUCGCUUCUUGAGUGGUUUGCGGCCCAUCAGGUAGUUGGCGAGGUAACGGCUCACCAAGCCUAAGACGGGUAGCUGGUCUGAGAGGAUGAUCAGCCACACUGGAACUGAGACACGGUCCAGACUCCUACGGGAGGCAGCAGUGGGGAAUCUUGCGCAAUGGGAGCAAUCCUGACGCAGCAACGCCGCGUGGGUGAUGAAGGUCUUCGGAUCGUAAAGCCCUGUCGGAGGGGAAGAUGCUUGGAACGUCUAAUAGAUGAGCCAGGUGACGGUACCCUCAAAGGAAGCACCGGCUAACUCUGUGCCAGCAGCCGCGGUAAUACAGAGGGUGCAAGCGUUGUUCGGAAUUAUUGGGCGUAAAGGGAGUGUAGGCGGUUUUCUAAGUCUUCUGUGAAAUCUACGGGCUUAGCCUGUAACGUGCAGAGGAAACUGGAAGGCUUGAGUGUCGGAGAGGAUAGGGGAAUUCCCGGUGUAGAGGUGAAAUUCGUAGAGAUCGGGAGGAACACCAGUGGCGAAGGGCCUAUCUGGCUGACAACUGACGCUGAGACUCGAAAGCAUGGGGAGCAAACAGGAUUAGAUACCCUAGUAGUCC
rnacentral:rRNA from 1 species